CAGCCGCCGCGGGAAUACGUAGGUGGCAAGCGUUGUCCGGAAUUAUUGGGCGUAAAGCGCGCGCAGGCGGAUCAGUCAGUCUGUCUUAAAAGUUCGGGGCUUAACCCCGUGAUGGGAUGGAAACUGCUGAUCUAGAGUAUCGGAGAGGAAAGUGGAAUUCCUAGUGUAGCGGUGAAAUGCGUAGAUAUUAGGAAGAACACCAGUGGCGAAGGCGACUUUCUGGACGAAAACUGACGCUGAGGCGCGAAAGCCAGGGGAGCGAGCGGGAUUAGAUACCCCCGUAGUCCCUGUCUCUUAUACA
rnacentral:rRNA from 1 species